AGAGAGAGACAUGCGCGCAUAUCAAUAAGCGGAGGAAAAGAAACUAACAAGGAUUCCCUUAGUAACGGCGAGUGAAGCGGGAAGAGCUCAAAUUUGAAAUCUUCGAGGUUUUACCUUGACGAAUUGUAGUUUAAAGAAGUGUUUUCUGCUGAAGUUUUGGUAAAAGUUCUUUGGAAUAGGACAUCAUAGAGGGUGAGAAUCCCGUAUUUGACCAUUAUUUUCAGCUUUGUGAUACACUUUCAAAGAGUCGGAUUGUUUGGGAAUGCAGUCCAAAAUGGGUGGUAAAUUUCAUCUAAAGCUAAAUAUUGGCGAGAGACCGAUAGCGAACAAGUACCGUGAGGGAAAGAUGAAAAGAACUUUGAAAAGAGAGUUAAACAGUACGUGAAAUUGUCAAAAGGGAAGCGUUUGACACCAGUGUUGUUUUCUCGAAAAUCAAUUAAAAAUGGCUCGAUUUUGUAUUGCUGAGACCUUAAAAGCUCACUGUACAUUUUUCGUGUCUUUUUUAAUGCACUUUUCGUUUAACAAGUCAACAUCAGUUUCUUUUGUUGUAAAAGGGUCAUUGGAAGGUGGCUUUCUUUUCGGAGAAAGUGUUUAUAGCCUUUGGCCUCUGCAAUCGGAAGAGACUGAGGUCUGCAGCGUAGACUCUUCGGGGUUAGAUACAUUUGUGCUAAGUUAUAGCUUUUUAUAGACAACUUGUUGACUAUAAUUAGUCUUGUAGCUUACUCGCUUAUGCUAUUUUACCUACGCUUAGGAUGUUGAAGUCAUCGUAUCGCGC
rnacentral:rRNA from 1 species